rnacentral:lncRNA from 1 species
GUUUAUGUUCAGAAAUAACCGUUAUAUCUUUCUCAGAAAAAUUCAGGUUCGGCGGCCUAAGCUAAAGUUCGGCGGCCGAACCAAUUGAGGUGAAGAACAUCACUCUUUAAAAAAGGACUUUCGGCGGCCUAAAGUCAUAGUUCGGCGGCCGAACUUGUGGGACUUUCGUCUCUGUCCCUCUCUUUCGGAAGCCGAACAUUAGGCUUCGGAGGCAGACUUAAAAGCACACUUUCGGCGGCCGAAGGUAAUGUUCGGCGGCCGAACAUAGGUGACUUUUGC